CUAAAUUGCCUUCCCUUCCCGAACUCGUCCCUCUCCGCCUACAAUCUUCUUCAUGUGGGUCGUUCUCCCAUUCAGCCAUGCAUGGAUAUCCACCCACAAAUGGAAGUCGCGCUGAAUCCCCCGAUGUCGUUGUCUCCGCCAUGACGAAGAGCAGUAGCGGGAGGAGAGUGGCGACGAUAGAGGAAUUGAAGAAAUGAAAGUUCAAAGAAGAUUUCAUCAAUGGACGUGUUUCUGAUCUCAAUUUUGCCUCUCAGAUACGCUUCCUUCUUGACCCCGUCAGAAAAGAUUAGCUUGUUGAUCUCCAAUGUAGUAGCUCAAGAAGAGGAACAUCAGUGUCGAUAGUAGCAAAGAGCCGGCCCAGGUGGUGGCACCGCUAGUGUCGGCGGCUAAGCGGGCCAAGAAGAUGGUGAGGGAUACAGAAGAUGUUGAUUUGGGGAAAAAGAAGGCGACCUAGUUCUUUGGCUCGCAGAUUGGCACCGCCGAGAGUUUCGUGAAGGUUAGGUUUAUGAGCUUUUGACCCUUUCUCACUCCACAUUCCUUGAAACUAGAGAAGUAAUUUCCUUAGAUUUCCUCUAAGACUUGAUUUUUGAGCAAACCUGGGUGGAGGAGGUCAAUGCGAGGUACAAGAAGGUCAUCUUCAAAGUCAUCGAUUUGGAUUUAGGAAACAACAAUUUGUCUGGUGGUAUCACAACUCUCACUAACUACCCAAGUCUCAUUGCCUUCCAGACAACAUUCGGGCAAUGGGUGACAAAACUAUAGCUAGAGAAACAAUGAAAAAAGCUGACUUUCCUACUAUACAUGGAAGUGAUGGACUUGUGCAGUCAACAAAAGAAACUAUGAAGCUUGCCCAUGAAAUUAGUUUUCCUAUCAUGAUCAAGGUUAAAUAAGAAAUUUUCAGUCUAUAUGGUGCAGAUUAUCUCCAUCUAUUGAAACUCUUGAUAACAUUCAAAACUUUGAUCGUGUGCAAGAAGUUUUCCAUGAGCUAGGGUCCUAUGUGUGAUCUUUUGUGGUUUGAUCCUAAUGAUAGAUAUGGUUGCGUCAUGUUGUAGUAAAUAGUUGUUUCUGAAUUGAACUGGAAGUAUAUAUAUUGUAAAUAUUUUAUUU